CGGCAGAAAAAUUGGCAUGCUCACCCAGAACACCUUUGUGUUCCUUGUCAUUAACCAUAAUAUCAGUUUUAUUGUAUUUCGCAGACAGUUCCUUGCCAAUUUCAUCUGCAGAGUAUGAUCCUGGCUCCUUUAAUCUAAGGUUAACCAGAUUAUCUUCAAUCAGACAGUUCCAUGCCAAUAUCAUCUGCAGAGUAUGAUCCUGGCUCCUUUAAUCUAAGGUUAACCAGAUUAUCUUCAAUUAUCUCUUCACUAGCUUGAGAAGAACAUGACUUAUCAGCUUGGUUACCACACUGAGUUGCAGUGUCUUUUGAUAACUCAAGCUUCUUAGCAUCACAAAUUUUCAAUCUCAGGA
rnacentral:lncRNA from 1 species